AAACGACGAGGACAAGGAGAUGGAACGGGUUACGUGAUUGGUUUAUUAACGGGCGGGGGAGGAGGGUUGAAUUAAGUGCGCAGUGCGCACGCGCACGGCUGACUGUGCUGAGAGGACCCCCACGGCAGGUAUUCAAGUUUUGUUCACUUUGUCUUUCCUGGAAGACUCCAUGGUUAACUGGGAGAACUAGUGCGUUUGUGACAAUGAGAUACCAUGCAAUUCCAGCCUGAUUAUCUGAGAGAGGAAGUGAUUUGUGUUCAGACUACGUGAACCACUUUGUUUUUUAGCCCCAAUUUAAAUCAAGAGUCUGGUGAACAGUCAGAAGAAACACUCUUAUUAAAGUUCCAGUGACUGAUAUCAAUUGUUAAGUUAUCGGCUUCUCUCUGACAGUUCAGUAUGUAUGUUCAGUCAAGCAGUGCCCUUCUUGUAACUGACUACAUUCCUGUUCUAGCUUGUUGUGGAAUAACUUCUUCUCAAUGCCACCCAAGGGAGGCAACUAUGACAAAUCCAUGUAAAUAUUCUGAAAAUAAUCUCCUUAUGGGAACAGAUAAAACUAUACAAAAGGAGGAAAAAACCCUGAAUCUUGCUUGGCUGACCUUUUGGUCAACCAGCUAAUGGGUGUGGUGAAGUUAUUGCUGUAAUAGUACUUAUUACACAUUGUCCUCUCUAUCAUAGGAGUUUGACUUAGAUUAAACAUUUUUGUUUGGUUUUGUUAGUAUAUUAGCUAGUUCAAGACCUUUCUUAAAGUUAGCUUGUUCACUCUCUGAGGAAGGAUAAAUAUCAGUGUCAUCUACCAUCCAUACUGCUAAACCAAUCAACUUCCCUGUACCCACCCCUACAAAAACAACAUUGUAAGUUGUAAUGACUUCAAACAAUGCAGCGUUUAUUACUAGUUAUGCAUUAUAAUAGCAUAAUUAGAUGCAGCAGGACAAUGUGAGCAUCUCUGAAGUAUAAUGGCCUGGCAGGCUACUGGUAAUGCAACAUGCUGUCAUGUGGAAGACUAACAUCUGGGUCCAAGGUCAGGUCCUCACUUCCUGGGCCAGCAGAAUACAGGGGUACUGCAGAAGUUCCAGACAAAACAAGGGCCAGUCUUACUUGGCUGGAGGGAGUAUGGGCAAGUAGUCUUGGUGAUGUUGGGUUUGUAGCAAGGCCAGUCACUGAGUGACAAGAAAAAUCCACUGGAGGCUGAGGUGUGUUUGACAGUCACCCUUUCUGGGUUGGGUUUUGUUGCACGGGUUCUGUAUGAUGUCCAACUUGGCAAAAGCUUCUACCUGCAUUCUUCCACCCGGUUUAAAAAGUAGUAGACUCAAAACGACAAAAUACAAACCAAACUGGGUCACUCUUGUAUUUCCUCAGCACUCCUUGCCCUGACUUCUAGAACACAGAAUGCUCGUACUGCUGACUUCUGCCUAGAAUUAAUCCACCCUUCUUUUAAGGGAGUUAGCUGCACCUAAUCAGAUGCUAGCUCAGGAUAUCUCUCUGUGUUGUGUCUGAACUCUAGCAGAUCAUUAACAUAUCCAAUAUAUUAAAUAGGGGAAACUGAGGCACUGUGCGGUUAAGUGGCUUGUCUUACAGUAAUUUGUGACUUGUCUUAGCUUUCACAGUGGGUCAGUGUCAGAGUUGGGAACGGAAACAAAAGGGAUAUAGAGCAAUUCUCUCUCUUUCUGGCCCAGAAACUGUUCAAAUAUUUUCUACAAAGUGGAACAGCUUCAACAGGAGAGAUUGAGAAAAAUCCAGUACAGAAUAUUCCACAGCCCAGUUGUUAGGGACUCACCCAGAUGGCGGGAGCCCCAUGUUCAAAUCUCUGUCCCAAUGAAUAUUCAAGUAUUUUAUACAAAGUGGAACAGUUUCAACAUGACAAACUGAGAGGGACACACCCAAGAAUAGCCUACAGCUUGGUCGUUAGGACACCACCUGGAAUGCGGGUGAGGGAAGGGGAGACCUGGAUUCUAAUCUCUGCUCCAGACCAGAGCAGAGGUUUGAACCUGAGUCUUCCCUUUUCCAGAUGGAUGCCCUAACCACUGGGCUAAAGGCUAUCCAAGGGACUUCACUUACUCAUCUGUGCGUUCUGUGAAUGGUACCAAGGUCCCCAUGUAAAUUUAGUUUUUUUAAAAAAUGACCAAAACUAUUGAGCAAAUUCAUUAAUAGUUUCAGGCUGACUGAAACUGCAUUUUUCAUGGAAUAAACUAUUUGAAAAAUUUUGCUGAACCCCAUGUGGGAUGCUUUCAAAAAAAAUCCUGCAAAGACUGAACUCUGGCCUGUAUUUCAGCAAAGAGUUACACGAAGGUGCAGGAAAGGGGAGUGCACCAGCAGCAGUUGUACGUUAAUUUAGCCCAUCCCAUUAUACAGAUUGAUUCCUGCAAAUGUUGGGUUUCAACAUAGAAAAAUGUUUGUACAAACAGUUUCAACUCUGUUCUCACAACUUUAUACUGCUCUCCCCAGAUAAAACCAAUAUAUCCCUGAUCUCUCCCACCCGAUCCUAUCUAUGAGAUGCUCCUCCUUUAAAAAAGAAAAAAGAAAAGAAAGGAAAUUCCCAGGUGAAAAAUUUAUCUUCAUUAACUUCUCAAAGAAUAAUGAUCAGUUAAUGUAAUGUGGAUAGAGAUCUGAAUAUCUUACAAUUCAUGUAGAUUGUUAUGGAUUCCCAUAUCUGCUGCAGUCUCAGACUGUAUUAACUUUUCUGCAGAUUCUGCAUGAGGUUGGUGGAGGGACAAUGUACAUCUUACAUUGCCUCUCUGCCUUCCAAACCCUGCAGAGAACUUCCAUGUACCAGAGAUUAAGGAUGUGUGCCAUGGAGCAGGGCUGACCCCCUACUUUUGUACAGAAACAAAGAGAUCUAUGCACAGAAAAGACCUUCCAUAUGGCAGUCUGUGGGGGAUGGAGAAGAAUAACAACAAUCUGGCUCUAGAAUUUUAAGACAAAGCUGUUCUUAAUUAUCACUGUAACCAUUAUGAUUUAUCUGCAUUUGCAAGGCAUCAAACAUCAUAAAAGGAUCUGGGCCCAAUUUUUUAAAACAGUAGCACACUGCCAGAAAAUGGCAAAAAAAGGACAAUCUUCAUAUAUCCUGGACCACCACCAUAAUUUAAAGGAACUCAGAAGCGCUAUUUCCCCAGGAAUACAUCCUUGAUCCUAAUAAUAUUUCUGUAAAUGUUUUAAGUAAAACAUGUUUUCCCUUCCAAA